rnacentral:piRNA from 1 species
UACCAACUGAGCCANAUCCCCAGAUUUGAU